CAUGGGUUGUAGUCUGCAUGUUUUUAUCUAUCUCACUAUUCCCUGUGGUCACCAGAUAAUGGGUGACAGAACUGGCUUUCAGAUGUAAACAUUGCUUUGUUUCCAAGGCAACUCUGAGCUGUGUGAAAACACGCCAUCAUGUGACCACCAGCCACUCCAGAGUGUUUACAAAUGAACCAGGAACCAAAAUGUUCUUGUGUGUCCUCUCUCCUGCACAGACACGUCCUGUUCCUCUAUAUCAAAGCAUCUCAGCCCUGACCAAUCGUGGCACACAGAGGCACAGAGGAAACCAACAGAGCCGGAAAUGUGUCGAGAAGAACAGACGGAUCCGGUUCAGCACACCGAGUCCUGUCUAUUCCAGGUGGAGAAAGGUACCAGUUGGAGCCCACCUGGCUCUUGUUCCAACAUCGCCUCCAAGCAGCUCCUGAUCCCUAGUUUGAAUGUUUCAUUACUCAUCUAACGUUCUGGCCUAUACUUAUUUCACAGGUGUGUGAUCAACACUGGUGACUGACUCUCUGUCAGUCAGUCAGUCAGUCAGUCAGUCAGUCAGACAGACAGACAGACAGACAGACAGACACUCUAUUAUUGUUAGUAUUAUAGCCCUGUUUUUGGUGUGUGCAUAUUUUACUGGCAUUUGCAAUGCCGCUAAAAAAAAGAAGUAAGAAGUAAAAGUAACUCAGUUCAAUAAACCUACAGGAAAAUACCUGAUUGUAAUAUUUCAGAAAUUGUUGUAAAUAAAGAAAAGGAGACCAUCUUCAAGAGUAAGAGGAGCCAUCUGUUUUGUUUGGUCAGUGAAUAGGGGGUGUUUUCAAAUGGUCUUUCCAUGCAAUGGAAGGUGCAAGCCAGCCAACCCUGGAAUGAUAUCGGCCUCUUUUGGCACCUAUUGCACAAACAUCCCUGGAGGGAUCCCUCGCUUCCCCUUUCCAGUCUUCCAUCUUCUAUAACCAUGGUCUUUACUAGCCCCAAAGAGGGCAUAUUUGAAGCCCUUUGGAGGCUAACUGACUCAGGACUAUUCUCACACAAAUCCGACUUUAGAAGUUAAAGUAUGAUAGACAAACUUAAUACUGGACAAAGGGGCCGUUUCACUUUCGUGCUUAUUUGUUUCAACCAAUAAUGAUGCUGCAGGUGGGGAUCUGUAAUCGCAGAGAGUUGGUAUGACAAAGAUGAAUCACUAACUAGUCAUCAAAGCUUUUCUGGCGGGAAGACAAGCUUAAACCUCCUAGAUCCAAACAUCACAAGUGUCUGGAAACGUUUUAAAUCAACACCCUCUAGACUUGUCACUGUAUAAAUCCCCUUAUCAAAAUCCCCUAAAGCUCAGUCAGCUUGCACAUGCUUUCUCUUCCACAAAGUGUCUUCAUAAUGAAAAUUGACACAAGGGCCAUCUGUGCUGGAUAGAGGAGCAACGUUUAUUUCAGUCCACUGGGUAGGCUGGUAGACUGAUCUAUCCAGCACACAUCUAGGUGGACACGCCCACUAGUGAUGUAAUAUGGGGCCGAUUUUCGAAACGGCUUGUAAAGCUAAUCUCACUCACACCUGGGGGCAUCAUAUGUCCCCUUUAAAGUUAGUACAGAUAAUCUUCGGUAUUUUUAGACAUCUAGAAGAGUUUGUAUCAUUAUUACACUGCAUAGGUGAGGCCCCAGAGGUGGGUUUGUUUUCUAACUUGCCUGUUGGGGAUCCCUAGCAGUAGGCUAGGCUAAUCAACACGGUUACCAAGUCUUUGAAUCAAUGAUUUAAGUCUCACUUAUCAGCCAAUGCUUGGACAUAUAUAGCGAUACAGCUAAGCUAACGUAUUAGUGAUUAGUUGCGGUGGCAAAAGAGGACGAAAUAACCGAGAGAAACCAUACGUGCCUAGCAGUCCUAGCUCCACAUUUGUGUUGCAGUUGUUGAAACGACUUUUUCCAGAUCAAUAACAACCAAAUCCUUCAUAUGUUACAAAAAAAACAUCGAUCUACUGUGUAUGUGCUUAAGAAUGGCAAAUGAGGGUGCAUUUGGAAUCAACCAAUCAGGGCACGCUCGAACUCCUGAAUAUUCAU
ensembl:lncRNA